rfam:Triticum urartu cultivar G1812 contig55493, whole genome shotgun sequence.
UAUAUACUCCUUCCGGUCCGAAUACUUGUCACAGAAAUGGAUGUAUCUAGACGUAUCUCAGUUUUAGAUAUAUCCAUUUUUAUGUAUUUCUCUGAUAAGCAUUUCCGGACGGAGGGAGUAUGUG